UACAGAGGUCUCAAGCGUUGUUCGGAUUCAUUGGGCGUAAAGGGUGCGUAGGCGGCGCGGUAAGUCGGGUGUGAAAUUUCGAGGCUUAACUUCGAAACUGCAUUCGAUACUGCCGUGCUAGAGGACUGGAGAGGAGACUGGAAUUUACGGUGUAGCGGUGAAAUGCGUAGAUAUCGUGAGGAACACCAGAGGCGAAGGCGGCUACCUGGACAAUUGCUGACGCUCAGGCACGAAAGCGUGGGGAGCAAAAGGG
rnacentral:rRNA from 1 species